rnacentral:misc_RNA from 1 species
GAUGAAGAACGCAGUGAAAUGCGAUAAGUAAUGUGAAUUGCAGAAUUCAGUGAAUCAUCGAAUCUUUGAACGCACAUUGCGCCCCUUGGUAUUCCGGGGGGCAUGCCUGUUCGAGCGUCAUUUCAACCCUCAAGCUCAGCUUGGUAUUGAGUCCAUGUCAGUAAUGGCAGGCUCUAAAAUCAGUGGCGGCGCCGCUGGGUCCUGAACGUAGUAAUAUCUCUCGUUACAGGUUCUCGGUGUGCUUCUGCCAAAACCCAAAUUUUCUAUGGUUGACCUCGGAUCAGGUAGGGAUACCCGCUGAACUUAAGCAUAUCAAUAAGCGGAGA